ACAAUUUUUGGACAGUCGAUCUACCGAGCAAUUACACCCGCUCGGUGGAAGAUCUUCAUUUGGUUGU
rnacentral:pre_miRNA from 1 species